GGGUUUGUGCUCAAGUGAUUUGGUUUCUAUAUUCCUCUUAAUUUCUUUAUGUCCUGUAUGUAAUUCUUCAUUUUCAUGGUCAUGUUGAAGCAUGCGGAAGAAUGUUGCCAUCGCCAUCUGGCAACUAGCAAUUCCCUGAUUGCUGUGGUUGGUAGCUGACCAUAUUGAUGUUGGUAGAUCAGCUGUCAGGGCUGUUACCGUAAAGAUUUACAGUUGUGUUGUAUGCUCUGUCAGAGUCUGGAGUUCACUGCUGACUUUGUCUGCAGGGGUUUACCUGCCUUUUACGUGCACUACUCCACAACAGACCUAGGACUUCUCUAAGGAAAGUGUAUAUCUCCACAAGAUGAAUAAAUUCAUUUCUCUAGAUAGAAAUUUCACCAGUGGUAAUAUGAUGGGAAAGCAUCUUCAGGAGUUCAGCACUGAAUGCUGGAGUCCUUGCUCAUGAAAUCACUAGCAAAAUGAUUGGGAUUUGUGGUUGGUCCUAUGUUUCUGUGCUAUCUGAUGAGUUGCUCCCUAGAUAGUGAAGACCUUUUAUUUUCAAAGAAGUGAUAGAGAAAAGAGUGUAACAGUUGCAGAAGAAGGUAGCGUUUCAGCCUUCUAUGUAACGUACAAGGAGGGUACUGUUGUGUCACAGCGUAGCUGGAAGCUUUUCAUUUUUGUGUGAUUUGUGUAGUGUGUUUGCUGCAUUUACACACUUGUAAGGAAGAACUGUAACUAGGGAUUGAAACAGGAAUGAGCUUGCAAGUAUUUUCUUUGUUGCAAAUGGAGAACUGUUGUAAUUGUCUGAACCAGGUUUCAGAUACCUAUUUAUUCAAAUGUUUUAAAAUGUUUAUAAAGUCUUACUGAGUCAUAUUUUCUCAUAAAGAUCUCUGAGUUGUUAAAAACAGAGAGUUUGUUUGUUUUGGGGUUUUUGGUGGUGUUUUCUUUUUUUUACUGUUGACCACAUUGUUUUCUGUUUCAUUUUCUGUGUAUGACUGACAGGAUAAGGAUAUGCAAUGCUUUUUUUUUUUUUUUUUUAAACUCCUAUCUUUGCAUCGAACAGGAACAAUUUCUAGGGAGUGGCAGAGACGAAAGGAUUCUAAGCAAUUCGCUGCUUCAGAAAGGGGGUGGAGAUUCUGAGAAUAGAUGAAAGACAAUGUUUCAUGGACGUAAAAUGUUGUGCCUGGGUGUUUUGAGUGUACGUGUUCCGACUGGUGUUAACUGAAGAGAGGUUAAAGAUUCCAAAUCUGACCAAUGUGGUGGAUGAUGUACUCAGGAAACAUUAGGUUAAAUUUCUUUUUAGAAUUUUAUUGUAAUAGAGGAUGUCAAAGUUACUGACCUCUUUCACAAUAGUUUUAAUCCAGCUACCUGCAUGAGUUUCUUUUGAAAUUCCUGAACUGUCCAACUCGUUGCAAUUUUGGCUCCCCAGAGCAAUCUCCUUGAGGUCAGACUCCGCGGUGCCUGGAAAUGAAGUUUUUUUCAAAGAGGACAGUCACCCCACAAAGAUGUCAUGCAGAGAAAUGGCUGCUGUGAUGUGACUUUUGGUAAUGAGCGUGCUCACUGCCAGCUUCUGCAUGAGGAAGUGACAUACCAUUGUGGACCAAAUGGAAUAUUUUACGGUAUUUUGUGUAUCUUUAAACCCUAUGUCAUGGAUUAUCUGGAUCUAUCAUCAUCCACUCAAAGCUCAAAUAAAAGCCUGUGAAUGUGAACCUUUAAACUUUAGGUUGAAAGGCAAACAAAAAGUAUUGUAUUUGAAAUUAAGUUUUAAUUUUAAUAAAAUUACCUGUCAGUACAAA